ensembl:lncRNA
UAGAAAUAAACAUGUUCUCAGCAUAAUGUGGCUAUGUUGGACUUUUGGUAAAAGACUACUGAAAUUUGGUGUUUAUCCACACGCAUAUAACAACGGAGAAGAUCUAAGGCCAUAUCCUCUGCAUCUAGUCGGAGCUUUGAGCACUAAAUGUGCAAGACAUAGGAAGCUUUUCCCAGUGUGAGUAUUAUGGAGUAUCCACUGAAGGGUGAGCCAUGCAACAGCUGGCCCCGUGGAUCAUCUAACCAGGCCUACGUGAGCAGCAGUAUAGCUGUGUUUCUGAUUUAAGAGUGCAUUACAUGAGCAGAGUGGUGACUUUGUAUGAACUCAGGGGCAGAUGUAAUAACAUGUUAGUGCGUUUUAAGCCUGAUCUAUGGUUCUGUGUAGAAUGUACACUGUAGGUAGAGCCUAGCCCUGUACCCCACACUGUAUGUUUCUAUUUACAUUUACAUUUAGUCAUUUAGCAGAUGGUUUUAUCCAAAGCGACGUACAAAGGAGAGAACAAUCAAGCUACAAGCAAUUGAGACCUAGUGUAGCAAUAAAUACUACUUCACAUAAGAAAUAAAAAAAGUGCAGGAAUGUAACUACUGUAAGUGCGAGUUAAGUACUAGUUAGAGGAGAUAGCAUUAGAGGAAAGAUAAGGAGAGGUAGAGGAAGGGAGAGGAAGGGAGAGGAAGUGCAACAUUGGAAAGGAGGUGCUCUAUAAAGAAUUGGGUCUUCAAGAGCUUCUUAAGGGUAAAACAAUCUAAAGCUAUUUCUAGCCUACGCCAUAUCCUGAUGCACACCUCCCCAGAAAUGUAACUACAUGUUGCGGCAGCAUAGGCUGCAACAACUGUCAUUGCUCUGCUUGCCUAAUGUUGGUCUGUUGGUAAACCAAUCACACCACUAUGAACCACUGAUUGCUGUUUCAUUUUGCUAGCAAGCUGUCUACUUUCUGGGUAGUGUGUACCCUGUCUAUUUCUCAGUAACUUCUAAAAACAGAAUCUUAAAAAUACAAGCGGAGAAAAAGCCAAACUAAUUACAUUUAUACACAAACACGGCAGUUUACAGAGUUUGGUCCACCGUCUUUGUUUAUUUUUUUUCCAACCAGCGUGACUCAGAAAUAUCAGCACACAAGUGUAAAAGCCCACAAUGGCGUAGGCCACUCGUGUAGGCUACGGUGGAGGCUCUGCACAUGUCGGGCAAGCGGACCAAUCACAGAACAAGAAAGCCAUGAAGAGGCUCUCUUUUUGCUCACAGGCUCUUCAAACUUUUUUUCACAGAUGCAAACUCAAAAGUUUGAAAUGCCUUCGCACUCCUCGGUUCAAGAACCCAAGGGUGUCUCUGGGAAACCUCACCUUAUCUUCACAGAGGAACUGUUACCCUUGCAGAUGGAGUGGAUAAUGGCUAUUUCGAUGCAAUCCUAGGAGCGGUUAUUGCCACGGUCGUCCUGGUCAUCCUCUGCUUAGUGGUGGUGCUAAUGCGUUACAUGUACCGGCACAAGGGCACCUACCACACUAACGAGGCCAAGGGCACCGAGUUUGCGGAGACAGCGGAUGCCGCGCUCCGGGGCGACCCUGCUCUGCAGGACGCCAUGGACGAGAGCAAGAAAGAAUACUUUAUCUGACCUAAAACACAGGCUGAAGGAUGUUCCCUGUCGUAGACCCUCUCUUUAACGCAUACAGACAGAGAGGCUGCUCAACAACACGUGACCCAUCUGUAAGGGUCCAGGGUCCAGUCUGAUCAGACUCAAGUGCAGAAUUAAAAUGCCAAAUUAUGCUAUGGGAAUUUUUAUUUUCCACUCACAGAAAGCCCAAUCUCCUUUUUCCUGUGAAAAGGACAUGAAGUUAAUGAUGCGAGAAGUGUAGACCAAAGAGAUAAUGCCUUUUAGAGAGACAUUAAUUACGAUGUCCAGUAUUUUGUGGGUACACAUUACUCAUGGGGUCCUGCAGAAAAAAAAAGAAAGAAAAGAAACAUUUUCUACCAAAACAGACGCAGGCCAAGGUGGGCAUGAUGAUAGCGAAGCUCUCUCAGAAGAGCAAUGUUGUGACGAAUUGGAUGUGGCAGGAUGUCCUAUUGGAAUCCAAGAAAGAAUUGUUGCGAAAAUGAAAUGCACAACCAAUAUUUUUGUUUGGAAAUAUAGCCCAAAUGUUGUUGACAUUUCAAGCACUAACGAAUUUAGCUAAUAUUAAGUAAAUUGUUUUGACUGGAUUUGUUUUUGUAAGUUUUGUGACACUCCUCUUAAAGCUAAACAUUUACAGUACAUCAUAUCAUCUGUGAAAUUUGUUUUGAAUUUCUUUACCUGGACAGAGUAAGGGGAAAAUAUAAUUUUCUUUGCAAUGGCAUAAAACAUCAUUGCAACAAGAAAAACAUAUCAGAUAUACAUGCAAUCAUUAGGCAUAUCCGUUAUAAUCUAUCAGGUGAUGACAUAUUGUUUUUAGCCAUAUGUACGUAUAUGGAAGGGCACAGACUGAGGUGCUGAAAACUAGUCCUAACCCAUCCAGUAAGGGGUGGCAAUUAAGAAAUAUAACGAGAUAUUAUAUUUCAAAACUGACUCACAUAGUUGCAGGAGGCAUCAAGCCACAGUAAUGAUCUGAAGUGUUAUGUAAAUGAACACAGGAGAGGCUGGGCUUGUAAUGAAUUGUUUUUCAUUAUACUGUUUGUUUUGUUCGGCUCCACGGAAAGGUAUUUGGUUUCAUAGAAAGUCUACUUCUGUGUAUUUGAGGACUGCUUUGUAUGCUGUCUGAAAACUGAAUAUUUUUAGUUGUUUCUAUUGCAAUCAAAUGGCAAUCUGGAAUCUGGUUUCCCUGUAAAAGCAAAACUGUUUGAAAAAAAUCUGAAAAACAAAAACAAGUUUUGCAUUUAUUUAAUGGAGUGACUGAACAGUCCUGCUAAGGCCAUGAGAUAAUAACCAAAAUAAAUAACCAGCCUAAAUAACCAGCUGCAGUGAAAUGGUAUAUGUUUGUUCAGCUUGUCUGUGGUAACAGGAAAUACAAAACAAGCCAGAUUUGUCCAUACAACAGUGCCCUAGUUAAAGUGGACAUUUGAGGGCUGGAAAUGUAACAUCAAAACCUGGCCAAUCAGGUUUCCAUUCUGUUGUCCCCUCAGGUUAAUGUUGUCUAUUAUACAGCUCCUCAGAAUGUUGCCAAAAAAAUUCCAUUGAUUUGAAAUGGCCACCCCAACGUUCGGAAGUCUGAUAUUUCUUUCUAUUGACCGCUGAAAAAAAUGAAUGACCGCUGCCAUUGGUAACGGGUUUUGUGCUUUCACAUCUUUCAUAUAAUUCCACAAGUAGUCCGUUCUUGUUUCAUCCUGAAGGGAUUUUUUUUCAAUAUUAGCCAGGAGGGAUAUCUUUUAGGAGCUUGAGGUCAGAAUUGAAGUUAAAUAUCAAUAUUUCUCAGGUUCUCAGAGGAGAUAGCAUGUGGCUGCUAACCACAUGGAACCUUUCAGAGACUUCACUUUACUCAUAAGGCCCCAAUCAGCUACCCCAGUGGUGGCACACUUCCUCUAUAGAAAUUAAAUUAAAGUCUUUUUAUUACACAGUGCAUCCACACAUGCUUGUGAGUCAUUACAAUGACAAUGGCAAUUGAGGCAUAUCACCUCCGUAUGGCUGGGAUUAUACUAAGCAACAAUGUGCAGAGUGAACGCCAUGCCAUUUCACCUUUCAGCGAUGGUGUGAAUGAAGUUAAGCAGAACGGAAAUGGAACAAGAGCUGAAAACAAUCCCCUGACACAAUAUCCCAUAAUAUAACACCUCAUUCAUUUCCGUGGUAACUAUUUAAUGUGAUGUCGCCCCAUACCCUAGACUUUGUUGUUCUGUUCUGAACAUCAACUUUGAAGAGGAGAGCAGGAAAUAAACACAAAUAGAGCUGACAGGUGAGGUGCUAACAAUGCUGUUAUUGCGUAAGAGUCUGGGACUCAGUGCUUUGAGUUUGAGUAUGAUUAGCCUUUGUCAAGGAAGUCCCAGACUAAAAGAGCAGUGAAAUUAUCAGUUACCGAAAGCCCCCUUCUCUCCCCUUAAAUGGCAUCAAAAGGUAAACAAAGACUUUCAUCUUUUCUGAAUCAAACAUCCUGCAAAUUACCUUUCAAAACUUCAGAGGCACGCAAAUACUGGCAGGAUAAUAGUUCAAAUAACCGAGUUUAAAAUGACCUUAAAUAUCAGAUAUUGGUUGACACCGUUAGCCUUCGUGUAAUGUUACUGUGGAUAUCAACAUAAAAAUAUCUCUGAACAUACAGUAUUUUUACUGCAUCAGAAUUGUUAAAUUUUACACUGAAAUGGCCGUGUAUAAAUAUAACACUCAAACCGUGUUCCAGACUAUUUUGAGCGUUGUGUGUAAUUAUUGACAAAUCUGUCACAUCAAUAGGGCAAUGGAUUUCAUUCCAAAUCCAUUGUUUGCACUCAGAUCCGACUCUCUUAAAUUCUUAAGGUAAUUUUGAGUUUAAAAUACAUAUAAUUACAAUAUAAUAAAGUUCAUAAUAACAACAACCAAGGGAAGAAGCCAUAACAUGGUCAGACGUUAAGAAUAAAAAAAAUAUUACUGGUCGCAGUUACCUCCGACUCAUUAAAACACGAUACAAAGGAGGUUUUCUAUUUGUUGUAAUUGAAAUCUCACAGGAGUAGAUUGCCUUGUGCAUCUUUUUGACCCUGCCAUAUAACAAACAAGCAAUUACUCUAAAACCAGUCUCUUAUCUUUGCUAUGGAAACCAAUCCAUUCUCUGUUGUCUUGUGCAAAACAUUGGAUUUGUAAUUAAAUUUGGACUUAUAUAUAAUAUAUAUAAUACAGCAUAUGGCUUUUACCUUUACAGCAGCUGAACAUCAACAAUGUAAUGUUCACCAAACACAACACACAGAGAGGGAAUGAGUGAGAUUUUUUUCAGCUGUAACAAAAAGCACCAAACGAGUCUAUAUCCUCCACUAACACCCCUCUCCCAUCAUUUUGUUGACAAUAAGUGCGAUAAGUGUACUGCAUAAUGCAUUCAUGUUUUGUUAUUUAUGAGGCUGCAUAUUCUGGGCAUAUGUGCGCUUAGUGAUUGAAUUUGCAGUGACGUGCCCCGGGCUUCACUAUAGGUUGAUGUAUACAUUCGCCUUCAUCCUGACAGCACGUUUCCUCGUGUAAUCAUCUCGGCUUUAUAUGUGUCUCCAUACCGACAGUUGCUCUAAUUAUACAUACUUACACAGAAGUUGCCUUGUAGGGAAAACUAGAUGAGCAACACUAACCUGCAUAAAGAACAGUAAAGUGGUGUCUGACACUCCAAAUUCCUUCAGUUAAAAUUCUACUUAACUUAAAGCAAGUAUUGAAAUGAUUUAUUUGUAAUACUUCUUCUUCAACAUUUAAUAAGACUUCAGUGUUCUUAAUUGUACACAGAAGGUGUUAUAAUGUGAAAAUAUAAAAGUUUUUGGGACCACAUAAUUUGUUGCAACAUAUAUUUUAGCUCUUCAUGGCAAGAUACUGGUAAUUCUACUUAUUGAAACACCUAUAAUGCAUUAUUUUACAAAAGUGACAGCCUUAUAUUCUUGUAUAUGUUGUUGUGAAUAUUUUAUGAAUAAUUACUAAGGCUUAUAUCAAGCAUUGAUAGGCAUCAUUAAUAUGCUAUUAACUCUGAUGAACACCCACAUAAUUCUUUAAUGGAUGCCUGCUUUAAUUAAAGGGGCUGAAAGUAAGCCUGACUAGCUGUUGGCUAACGAGCCAUAUGAUUUGUGUAUUACUCUGUUUGUGCAUCCUUCUCCCUUCACAGGAAGUAAACCAUAACUUUGGCCAAGGUGGCAGAGGCUAAAGGCUACAUGUAGCAUGGAAACAUUUAUAUGAUUGAAAGACGUCCAAGUUUCCAUUAGUUUCUCCAUUAACAUCGAUUGAUAUUUACAAUAAAUUGGUCGAGGCAAACAGACCCCUAUAGGUCUUCAUUUAUACACUAGAGCUUUUGAGCUCGCUGAUAGUCCAACCAUUAAUGUUAACUGAUGAGCUUGCUACUGAUCCACCAACUACGGGACAGCAAUGCUUACUUGGGGUGCGUUCGUAAAUUUGCUCUCUAGGUCGAAUCAAUCAGCAUCACGGGGAUUAUUCUGUGUCAACAGGCAUUUCUUCCUAUACCCUUGUUCUGUUUGCUUGCCAAUGACUUUAGAUCACCAUGAUAGGGGCUUAAAGCUAUUAAAGCCUUUAACUAUGUUUCUACAGACACAGUAUUUAAUGCACAUCUGCAAGCCAAAAGGUAAUGCUGUGAAAUCACACAGUUGUGCUGGAAGUACAAAGAUCAGACAGUAAAAGCUGCUUCCUCUCCCGUGCUGCCACUCUGCAUCGAACGCUCCCCAUCCCACUCAAAAUUCUGCCACGCACACGAGACAAAUCACCGUCUUGAAGUUUAUUUUAGCUUCUCUCAAAACUCCAAAAGCUCCCUCUUGUGCUGUGAGAUAAGGGGGAGGAGGGGAAACUGUUUAAAUGUUCCCUUUGUGUUCAAAAGCUUAGAGCUCCGUUUGAGUCACUGUGUUCAGCAUCACCAUGGACUGACAUGUGUGCUGGGUAUUGUCAUAUCAAAGUCGAGACUCAAUAGCGAAAUGUUCAAACCCUUCUUUUUCUCUGUUGAAGCACAUUGCCCCAAUGGCAAGGCAGAGUUGAGCCGGGCCUAAUGCACACAGCGAGUGAAAUAUCAGUUCAUGCUGGGUGGUACUUGUGGAAAAGGGUAGAGAAAUAAUGGAAGGGAGCGGAGAGACACAUUGAGAAUUUAUUCCAGAGCUUUAAUGAGUUUCUUCACAAAUGUGCCCGUUUUCUCAAUCAGACACUUGCCAUUAAAAGAUAACUCAAGUCUCUCCUGAAUAAACUGUCACAUAGUUUUGGGGAAAUCAUAAUACUGCUAUAUUAAAACUCAUUAAUUGAACUCAUUCUCAUCCAAAAUGGCAAUGAAGUCAAUGUGUGGCUUUCUUUACAAGUGACCUAUAAAAUAAUAUGCAAUUUUCCUUGUAAAGUACAUUUCUAUGUCCAUUAUAGGUCCAACA